GGGACCUCCCAUGAUGUCUAGCACUGGGCUCUGAUCUUCUCUGCAGACGUGGUGCUCCCCUGGGACCUUUGACACCCAGGGGUCUGAGGGUCCC
ensembl:snoRNA